GAGUUUGAUCAUGGCUCAGGAUGAACGCUGGCGGCGUGCCUAAUACAUGCAAGUCGAGCGAACAGACGAGGAGCUUGCUCCUCUGACGUUAGCGGCGGACGGGUGAGUAACACGUGGAUAACCUACCUAUAAGACUGGGAUAACUUCGGGAAACCGGAGCUAAUACCGAAUAAUAUAUUGAACCGCAUGGUUCAAUAGUGAAAAACGGUUUUGCUGUCACUUAUAGAUGGAUCCGCGCCGCAUUAGCUAGUUGGUAGGGUAACGGCUUACCAAGGCGACGAUGCGUAGCCGACCUGAGAGGGUGAUCGGCCACACUGGAACUGAGACACGGUCCAGACUCCUACGGGAGGCAGCAGUAGGGAAUCUUCCGCAAUGGGCGAAAAGCCUGACGGAGCAACGCCGCGUGAGUGAUGAAGGUCUUCGGAUCGUAAAACUCUGUUAUUAGGGAAGAACGAAUGUGUAAGUAACUAUGCACGUCUUGACGGUACCUAAUCAGAAAGCCACGGCUAACUACGUGCCAG
rnacentral:rRNA from 1 species